GCGUGCGGCGCGCAGGGCACUGAGUCACCAUCGUGGCCGCGUCCUCGCGCUCUCCUAGCGAUUUCUCCGGAGAAAGCGGAGCAAGGUCAGCCGGGCAGCCCUUCAAGGACGGCGCGCCGCUCCUGCAUGCUGAUGGCCUGCGGGGCUGCCUGCCCGUGCCCCGGCGCCCAACUCCUACAAGGAAGAAAUUCAGGGGCUCCCCGCCCCCGCCACAGUCCUCUUCCCCCUCCCCAGCUGCAACUCGGCAGCCGUUCGUCAAAGACCCUGUUGUCACCGAGACACUGGGACCUUGUCUCAUCCUUGGAACCACUCGUAAAUCUUAGGUCAGGCAGCCGGCAGCCUUCGGGGACCACAGUCCCCCCAAAGCUUUAGGAAGCCAGUUACUACAUCCGGAAAGAUUCGUGCUUCAGAACGCAAGCCAGGGAGAAUAAUCACAGAAACGCAAUGCGAAUGUCGUGCCUCUCAGAAAUUCUUAGCCUGAAAUACCGUCCCCACCCCCCAACCCGGCCAGGCGACAGUCCUGUCAUCCUAACACCGCAGAGGCUCCAAGCGCUGGGAGUCGUGUGCCCGCGGCGCUCGCCACUGAGGCCGGUUGGAAGAUUCUAGGGUGCCCCUUCCCAGGUUCCAGCAGGCACUCCGGGAUGUUCUAGAGUCAGGCCAGGGAUUCAACAGCGAACCUGACCGAAACUCAAACCUCAGCACAAGAACUUUGAUGGGGGAAGUGCCCAGACUCCAAUACUCUCGACCUUGGCAUUUAGUAGUUUCUUCUUUGAACUGGAAAGAUCAAAUAAUGCACAGUAAAAUCUCAUGAUAAGGGUUCCACCAAGAAUUCGGGAUUUGUGUUAAUUCAUAAGGCAGAAGUGGCCCCUGUGCUAUCCAUGAAGAGUUUCUGUAUUUCUCUGCAAGGUCACAGGUAGGCUUUUUAACCAAUUAAAGAAAAACUCCAACAUUUAGAGGGCCCAUUAUUAUAAUAAUUCCUGUAUUUGUUUGCUGUCUGGCACAUAAAAACGUGCUUCACUUGCAUAUAUUAAUGAAUUUUCACCUCCUAGCCCCUGGCUAACCCAUUUUACAGCUGAAAGGACUAAAGCAACAGAUGCCCAAAGUAACUCACCUAGCAACAAGUCUUGGGAUUCUGAGAUGAGGUUCUUUCUCCCACACACACAGGCAGGCUGGCUUCUUGGGAGUGGGACUUGUUCAUUUGUCCCCACCACCACCAUUGAUUUUGACUGAUUGCUCCACUCUUGCUGUCUUCAAACUUUUGAACAAGGGGGUUUGCAUUUCUCUUUGCACUGGGCCAAAUUAUGAGGUAGGUCCUACACACAGGCUCCAAGAUGACAGUACUAAUUUUUCACUAAUUUUUCUCUACUUGGUGCUCAAGUGUAGAGUUUGAGGGGUACUAUCAUCUUCACUCCAGGCAAGGCACUGUUGUUUCUUUUGUAUUCCUGCUUAUUCUCCACCCCAUCAGGUGCUCACUCUGAUACCUGUCUUUGAGUGCUGUUUUCUUGGAAAAACAAAUCUAUUUUCAAGAAAUGAAUCAAAAUUAUCCUAAGAACUUUUUAAUUGCAAUAUAAUGCAUUUACAGAAAAGUACACAAAUCAUAAAUGUUCAGGUCGCUGUGUUUUCACAAGCUGAACACACCCAUGUAACCAGUACACAGAUCAAUUAUCGGCCCCCAGGAGUCCCCUCAUGUUCCUAUCUGGUUACUAUGUACUCAAGAGUAACCACUGUUCUGAAUCCUAACCCCAAAGAUCAGUGCUUCCUGUUUUGUGUUUUAUAUAAAUGCAAUUAUACAUUAUAUAUUAUUUUGUGUCUGCCUUCUUUUGCUUAACGUUGCUAUGAGAUUUAUCCAUGCUGUUGCAUGUGGUGGGCAGAAUUACAAGAAGACCCCCAAGAUUCCUCACCCCUUCUUGUAUGCACAUUCCCAUAGGUAUUGAUCUAGGCGCUGCUGUGAAGGGAAUUUGCAGAUGUAAUUGGCCUAAAUCAGUUGGCUUUAAUAUCAGGAAAUUGUCCUCAGUGGGCAUGGCCAUAUGGAGCCCUUACAAGGGACUGGGCUCUUCCUGGUGAAAAAGAUUUGAAUCACGAGAGUGGCUGAUAUGAGGGAAAUUCUUUGCUGUUGCCUUCGAAGACAGAAGAGGUCCACAAGGCAAAGGAUGCAGACAGCCUGUAGGAGCUGAGACUGGCUCCUGGCUGACAGCCAGCAAGGAAAUGAGGACCUCAGUCCUCCAAUCAUGAAGCAGACUCCGACUUCUGCUAACAACCUGAAUACACUUCAAAGAGGAUUCUGAGCUCCAGCCGCCUACACAUUGAUUUCAGCUGUUGGGACCCUCAGCCGAGAACCCAGCUAUGCCGUGCCCAGAUGUAAGACCUACACAUCUGUGAGCUUGUAAGUGUGUGUUGCUUUAAGCCACUAAGUUUGUGGUAAUAUGUUUCACUGCAAUAUGAAACUAAUACUUCUGUGU
ensembl:lncRNA ST8SIA5-DT ST8SIA5 divergent transcript